AAGAAGUUCUUAUAUUAGUAGAUCCUGUAAUAUACGAUAUAGUUAACAUAUUCUGUGGCUGAAAGAGGAAGAAAGAUCAUACAGAUCAGUUUCAUGAGGGCAUAAAUGUGCAUAUGUGUGAGCUCAACACUGAAAUGUUUGUAUAUAAAAACAAAUGUCAACAGGAACUCAAACACAAACAGCACACUUUAAAGCAAAUGGACAAAACAUGCUGUUCUGAGCUCCAACAUUAGGGGGCAACAUAAGCUCACAAGCUAUGCUUUAUUCACAUUAGACAUCCACCUGAUGUCUAAAUAAAACACUGCUCACCAUUUGAUUUUAGCGUGUCCAUGUUUCACUAACCACACCCACAUUAUUAAUACACAACAGAACUUCACUCAGUCUCAGUGAACAAACACUCUUUAAAGUGGACUUCAGUUAAGAUGGAGGAGAGGCAAAUGCUGCUCAUGAUGCUCAUCACAGUUUCAGGUGUAUUUGCAGAUAAAAUUGGACCAAAAGAUGGAAAUACUAAUGUAAUCAAAGAAGAAGGAGAGUCUGUGACACUGAGCUGCACAUAUGAAACUAACAGCAAUGAUAUUUAUCUUUACUGGUACAGACAGUAUCCAAACAGUGAACCAAAAUAUUUACUGUAUAAAGGAGCUCGAUCAUACAGCAGGCAAAAUAUACCAGCCGGUUUUCAGUCGAAAACAUCCCAAUCAUCCACUGAACUCACUAUUAACAGUGUGACUCUGUCAGAUUCAGCUCUCUAUUAUUGUGCUCUAAGAGUUGACGCCCAGUGAUACAAAAUGCCUGAGAAGCUUUACAAAAACUCAUACAAAAUUAAUGCUUUGAAGUGUCUUUAAUCAAUCUGUAUCAUGUUACUGUAAACCACAAACAGUGAAUGUGGUAACAGCUGUGAAAUUGGGAGGUUACAUAAGGACAUGUGAAUAAAAUUCAGCAUUUCUACAUGGUUCUCACAU